CAAGGCUGAAACUUAAAGGAAUUGGCGGAAGGGCACCACAAGGCGUGGAGCUUGCGGCUUAAUUUGACUCAACGCAGGAAAACUUACCAGGUCCGUACAUAGGGAGGAUUGACAGAUUGAUAGCUCUUUCUUGAUUCUAUGGGAGGUGGUGCAUGGCCGUUUCUAGUUCGUGAGUUGACUUGUCAGGUUAAUUCCGGUAACGAGCGAGACCUCAACUCCUAGCGAGCUCAGUACGUUGAAUAUCCGGUGUAGACUUGGGUACAACCAAGAUCCACGAAGGGAGUAGCUUGGUGAAGGCAAUCCGGGUAUGGGCCAGGACCGAGCAUUACGAAAUGAGCAUCCUAGGAGGACGCUUGGUGGGAAACCAAGGGAGGCAUGAGGCGAUAGCAGGUCUGUGAUGCCCUUAGAUGUGCUGGGCCGCACGCGUGUUACACUG
rnacentral:rRNA from 1 species